GCCAGUCUGAUGUCUAAAGGCAGGGUAUUCCAGAGUCGUGGCCCAGCCACCGCAAAAGCACGCUCCCCUCUACGCUUUAGCCUAACGCGAGGGACCACCAACAGAGCCUGGUCACAGGAAAUAAAAAGACACACCAUGUUUUCUUAGAAUAGAACCCAGAGGUAGCAUGUACAGAGAGAAUAGAGAGGGAGCUAAAAUAGAGCCUUGUGGAAGGCCACAGGUCAGAGGAGCAGGGGAAGAGAAAAAAUUUCCCAGUUUCACUAAAAACUUUCUGUCAGAUAGGUAUGA